rnacentral:snoRNA from 1 species
CUGCACUGCUCAGUGACCAGCUGGUCUUGCCCUGACCUCCUUGGUCUCAUUCCGGUGCCAGAUCAAUUCCUUCUAGCAGAAGGGCCAGGCUCGCAUCGUGGCCUUGUCCCUUUCGAAAGCUGGGUACAAAC